rnacentral:rRNA from 1 species
CCUACGGGAGGCAGCAGUGGGGGAUAUUGCACAAUGGGGGAAACCCUGAUGCAGCAACGCCGCGUGAGGGAAGACGGUCUUCGGAUUGUAAACCUAAGUUGUCAGGGACGAUAAUGACGGUACCUGAAGAGAAAGCUCCGGCUAACUACGUGCCAGCAGCCGCGGUAAUA